UAGGAGGGGUAGGGUUAGCUUUAGAGUUAGGGUUAGGGUUAGGGUUAAGGUUAGGAUUUGGGUUAUAUCGUGCAACAUUAAGUGCAUUGUAACUGCAUAAUAACAUUGGAACUGUGUAAGUACACAUGUAUUUACUAAGUAACUACUAUGUAAACACACAGUAAUUAGAGACACUGCAAAGUGCAUUUGCAUUCACUGCAGACAAGGAAUUACAACAGUACAACAUCACCUUUGAGACACGUGCAAACCAGUUUGCUUGAUUAAAUUGCAUUUAUUUUUUUCCCUCUAAAGACUAGAAGAAAAUACAGAAUAAACAGAAGUACUCAACAUGGAAAGGCCUCGUCCAAUGAGAAUCCUGCUCUCCUGAGUGAUCCGAGUCCACUGGAGAUAUUCCAGCCACGGCGGCACCCCUGCAGUCAGAUCCACCUCCAGCAGGGGGCGCUGAGACAGACAGGACACACACAACUGUAACAAACCAUCAGGGCCCUCAUAGGUAGAUUUAAAAUCGUGAACACGAUACAGAAACCACAAGCCAUGCGUUCAAGUGCUUUGAUAGUUGAUAGUUUUGAAAAGAAACUCCAGAGUUUCAUUUAAUUCCCAGGUAUAACUCCCGAGAAGCUGAAUUUCUUUGGUGGCAGAAGUUUCCUUGAAGGCAGGAGAAGUAGUGGUAGCUGCAUCAGCAGGAUUGAGAUAAAGUAAAGAAUAUGUAUAUACCAGAAUAUGCCGCUUGUCAAGAGGGGCAAGCUAAGAUGCAGUCACACGUUUUCCUAAGGAACUAAAACAAUCUGUGAGACACCCUGUACAUUUACCUCCUUAGCACAGUGGUGUUUUUCAACAGCAGAACCAUAGGCUGUCAUGUAAAGCAAUUCAGGCAAGGCUUUAAUAUUCACCAGUAAUUACAAUAGUUACUAAACCAUUAGCGUAAAUAGUCAGCAAUGCAUUGAUAAAUGUUGUUAUAAAGAUGUUAGAAAUUAAUAUUAACACUGAUAAUUACUGUAUAACAGACCAAAGCAAUACAUGGUUAUAAGAACAUCGAACUGAGGCAUUUUAAAGGAAACCUUGUCAUUGCUUUAUGACACAAUGCUUUACACUAGUAAUGUGUUCUUCACAUGUUAUUACUUCAUCAAAACAUGUAAUAACAUGCCAAGACAUUUUAGAAAUGGAUUCUUAAAUGAACACAUAAUCAAGGUUAUCUAUUCAUUUCAUUUAUUAUCCUAGACCUGGCUUCAAGAGCUGUUGCUGGGGACCUGGGUCAUUACUGUAUUAAUUACUCUUUAAUUCCUAGUGGUUAUUGCUUGGGUAAUAUAAAGCUUGACCACAAUGUCAUUCUAUCUCUGAAUCCACAUUGCUAUGGAGAGAAGCACAUCGCAAACAAGCUUGACACAGACUUGAAGUGUCGGGUGAGAGGUAUUGCGGUCUUUGGUCCCUGGAUUUACUCACCAAACACCCAGGAAAAAAGCCAACUAUUAUCAUUUUGUUUAUUCUCAAGAUGUUACAAGUCAUCGGGUAGUGUUUAAGACAGGACUCGGCAGAUUUAUUUAGAACACUUCUAUUUGGGGGGCGGGGGGAAUGGAGGUUAAGGUCCUUGUGCAAAGAAAUCUUAUUUUAAAAUAGACUUUUAUCCAAAUAGACUUGCAUGACAACAAUCCUGCCUAUUAAAUCCAGCACCGCGACAAUUCAUGCCACACUUACUGAGUCGCUUCAUAUUAGACGGGACAAGUCCAUCAAGGACGUGUUUUUUUUUUUUAUAUAUUGUAAAGAUCAAAGAUGUCGUUUUCUAACUUUGCUUAAUAUUGUUAUUAGCUUCAUCUGUGAAACGUCCUCGCUGCGAUGAGCUUGGACAUGGGGAGGCAGAGGGCUUUACCUGCAGGAUCUGCAUUACACAUUUAUAAGGCAACAAGGCCUCCUUGGAGGGUAUCAGGGCUAGUAAGAACCAAAAAUAGAAAUCCUUCCUGCAUCCCACUUAUUGAGAGUAAACAUCUCUUAUUCCAUAUCAUUAAUACUGAGUACGGAGGCGCCUAACUUUAAGAACCCAAAUGAAGGGGGUCCCUGAAUGGCUCACCUGGUAAAAGCAUUGCCGCGUGGCGUGCAGUGUGAGUCAUACAACCAGAGAUCGCAAGUUUGAAUCCUGGUUGUGCGAGGCAGCCGGUCCUCGCUAGAGAUUCCGUGGGGGGCGCUGCAUUGGCUUUGGUGCUCCUGGAGUUGGGGAGGUGGGAUCAGGCUUAGACUGUUUCUCCUAACCAUUCUGCAGCGAUCCCUGCAGGCCAGGCGCCGAGUGAGCUUGGGGGCGGAGGUUUGCUGGGCUGGUCUUUGUCCUCCAGAGGCUGGUAGCCUGCAGACAUCUGCUCUCGAGUUCCUGGGUGUAAAAAGACGCCGAUUGGCUUGUGGGAUCGGAGGACGCCCACUGAGCCUCGGGUCCCUGAGCUGUGUGGGGAAUCACUGCGGUGACAAAGAAACAACAAUAAUAAUAAUAAUUUGGCAUUCCAAAUUGGGAGAAAAUCGGGGGUAAAAAUAAUUGGAGAUUCUAAAAAAAAAAAAAAAAGAACUCAAAUGAAGCUGCAGACAGUUAUUAACUACUGUAACAAACUAACUCACUAAUCAAUAUGAAACAGUCAUGCUUUUCACAUAACUAAAGAUAUAAGAUGCAAUGUUGGAAAAUGUGUCACACCAAACGCAUAACGCUGUACAGUUUUGAGGCCUUUUUUUUACCCAGGUAUCGCUUACAGGGCUGAAUUAGAGACUUUGUUCUGCACGUGAUUCAUAGAAUAUAAGCACAUCUGCCAUGCGGAGUCUGGGAUACUUGUUGAACAAGCAUUUUACCAGUGAAAGGAAUACUAGACAGUAGUUAAACUGACUGCAGUUUGAGAAAGCAGAGGAAGGCUACAGGCUGACCACGGGCGCUGCAAUGGGAGUAGCUCCUCUAGGAUAGUGGGAUGAAGACUCAAUGUGAGAGCAUCUUUGCUCUCAUGAAUGUAUUUUUUUACUGUUUCACACACACACCACCAGCAUACCUGGUUGAAGAUGUUCACAUUCAUCCAGUAACCCUGCCAUCACAAGGCCAGAGCAUGUGUUUUACAGCAAGGUGGUGUUAAACAUUUCUGUACAACACGGUUUCUUCCAAGUUCAAGUUCAAGUCUAGAGAGUUCCAGAACACAAUGGGCUCAGUUAACAAGGGCUGUUUCAGGGGCUGUUUUUCUGAGAGUCUCUUGGAUUAAACAGUGCUUUGAAAAGCAACUCUAAAAAAACAAUUGAACUUCAAAAUUGGUUUAAAUAAUCAAAAUGGGCUUGUUUUGUCAAUUGGGCCAAAUUGUUCAGAAUGAUUUUCUGUGUUUUAUUCUUUCCUAUUGUUCUGAAUGUGGCAUCCCUCUCCCUGUUUACACAUGUCUUUCCUGUCUGCUGUUGGUAACACUUCAGAUUGAACGUGCCCUAAGCAAGUGGAAGGAGGCCCUGGAAGCAAGAACCAGUCGAUUUUAAAGCUAAAAUAAAAUGAGUGAUUUCAGUGGUAUUGAUUCCCAGUCUUCUUCCUGCACAGCAGCCAGUUCCUCUCUUUAUAAGACCAGCCUGCAUGGGAAAAGAUCUGCCCUCUCUAAAGAGUUUCCCCUUCAAGGGGUCAGGACUUCUUUGGAAAGAAGAAGACAUGCAAAAAAGAAGCAGGUUGCUAUUACACAGGACUGUCGUGCUCUGGCAUUUGCUUGAUCAUAAUUUUAAAAGAAGGAUAACAAAUCCACAGACAAGCACCACUUUGUACAGUGUCUCUAAUAUAAUUAUAUUGGAUAUAUCUGUCAAAAAUUUCUUAUGUAAAAUUUUUUAAUUAUCCUAAAAAGAUCCAGAAUUCCCUUUUCAUUAGAUUAGUAUAAACUAAGUGUAGUGAAAGCAUGGUAAAACAUAGGUAAACACUGUAAAGCACAGAGGUGUGGGGAAAUUUAAAAAAUAAACAAAAGAUAUAUACUGUACCAUGGUAAAUGACUAAUAAAAUGCAUGGGAUAACUGCAAAAUGCAGGUGCAAAUGUACUAUGUAAACUGUAGGAAAGGCAGAGUAAUCCAGUCUGUUUGUACAUUUCUCUCAGGAGCAGCCCACUCAGUGCUUAUCUUAGCUAUUUGCUGGUAAGGACUCUUCAGAUCCAGUACAGCUUUUUCACUGUUCAAUGGUACUGUAGUUCACAUGCGUUAUGAGUGGUAUCACUUCCAUUGAUGUUACAUUUACAAUGUUAAUUGCUUUUCUCUCACAAAGCAUUGAUAAUCAAUUGCGAUUUUUAAAUGUUCACCCUGUUAUGUAAAUGUACAGUAUAAAUAAAUAUAUUUCUGAUUAAACA